UGGGGAAUAUUGGACAAUGGGCGAAAGCCUGAUCCAGCGACGCCGCGUGAGUGAUGAAGGCCUUCGGGUUGUAAAGCUCUUUCAGCAGGGAAGAUAAUGACGGUACCUGCAGAAGAAGCUCCGGCUAACUUCGUGCCAGCAGCCGCGGUAAUACGAAGGGAGCUAGCGUUACUCGGAAUUAUUGGGCGUACAGCGUGCGCAGGCGGUCUUAUAAGUCAGGAGUGAAAGCCUGGGGCUCAACCUCAGAAUUGCUUUUGAUACUGUAAGACUUGAAUACCAGAGGGGAUAGCGGAAUUCCUAGUGUAGAGGUGAAAUUCGUAGAUAUUAGGAGGAACACCAGUGGCGAAGGCGGUUAUCUGGCUGGUUAUUGACGCUGUUGCACGAAAGCGUGGGGAGCAAA
rnacentral:rRNA from 1 species